UAAAAGAUGACGAAAAAAAUCGUUCGGAUUCCCUUUGAAUUCCCUCGGGAAAGAUGUGAUCACAAACCAGCUACUUCUGAUUUUA
rnacentral:snoRNA from 14 species